rnacentral:rRNA from 1 species
UACGUAGGGACCAAGCGUUGUUCGGAUUUACUGGGCGUAAAGGGCGCGUAGGCGGCAAUUCAAGUCAUCUGUGAAAUCUCUGGGCUUAACCCAGAACGGCCAGGUGAUACUGCUUUGCUAGAGUGCGGAAGGGGCAAUCGGAAUUCUUGGUGUAGCGGUGAAAUGCGUAGAUAUCAAGAGGAACACCUGAGGUGAAGACGGGUUGCUGGGCCGACACUGACACUGACAGCGCGAAAGCCAGGGGAGCAAACGGG